rnacentral:rRNA from 1 species
UAUCUCUGUAGAGUCUGCAUAUCAAUAAGCGGAGGAAAAGAAACUAACUAAGGAUUCCCUCAGUAACGGCGAGUGAAGCGGGAAGAGCUCAAAUUUGAAAUCUUCAAGGUUCUACCUUGACGAAUUGUAGUUUAAAGAAGUGUUUUCUGUUAGAUGAGUAGCAAAAGUUCCUUGGAAUGGGACAUCAUAGAGGGUGAGAAUCCCGUAUUUGACCGUUAUUUUCAGCUGUGUGAUACACUUUCAACGAGUCGGAUUGUUUGGGAAUGCAGUCCAAAAUGGGUGGUAAAUUUCAUCUAAAGCUAAAUAUUGGCGAGAGACCGAUAGCGAACAAGUACCGUGAGGGAAAGAUGAAAAGAACUUUGAAAAGAGAGUUAAACAGUACGUGAAAUUGUCAAAAGGGAAGCGUUUGACACCAGUGUUGUUUUUCUGAAAAUCAAUUAAAGAACUGUUUAUGCUAAGUUGUUUAGACUUUAUCAGCUAACUGUUUAGUUUUGAGCUUUUCUUUAAUGCACUUUUCAGUUAACAAGUCAACAUCAAUUUCUUUUGCUGUAAAAAAGCUUGAGGAAGGUGGCUUGAGAUUCGUCUUAAGUGUUUAUAGCCUCUUGCCUAUGCAGUCGGAGAGAUUGAGGUCUGCAGCGUAGAUCCUUCGGGGCUAAAUGCAUUUGUGCUAAGUUAUAACAUUUUAUAGACAACUUGUUGACUAUGAUUUGUCUUGUAGCUUACUCGCUUAUGUUAUUUUACCUACGCUUAGGAUGUUGAAGAUGUAGCACAUCAU